rnacentral:lncRNA from 1 species
UGUGAAUAAAAGUCUAUUUAACGAAAAAAGUAUUCUAGAUUAUUCUAAAAUAAAUUGAGGAGUAAAACAAAAGUUUCAUUGUUCCCUUUCAACUCAGGUAAUGACUUUAUUUCUCGACUCUUCUUGUUUCUAUUUGAUUAUAUGACUUUAUUGUCUCAUUCAUGUUUGAUUGAAUCACUGAUUUAGUAUAUGUUUUUUUCUUCUAAAAUGAUGUGAUUUUUACUAUUUUUUUCUGAAGAUCCAUUAAGUUUUUGAAUAUAGGUUUUUUGGUCUUUUGUGUAGUUUAUACAACUGUGAAGAAUAUCAUUUUGAGAUGUAGUAUUACUAUUGAUGCAUCUAAAUUGAUAUAUUUGAAUCCUUAAAUUUUGUUGCAUGUUAUUUUUUUCUCUCGAUUGAAUGCUUAUUGUUAAUGUUACAAUGAAUAUUUGAUAUAUUAGUGUAAUAGUAUAUGACAUUACUAUGUUUCAAUAUUAUAUUUUGAUAUUUGUAAUCUCAACGAGUAUUAUCAACAUUGGUUUCAAGCGCGGGAGCCGUGAGUUUAUUGAGUAUCUGACUAAGGUCAAUAUUUCAAAAUUAAAGAAAUUAUUUUAAUUCCCAAAAUGUUUGUGACUCUUAUAGAGAUCUAACUUAAAUAAAUGUUAUUGGAAUUGUGUUUCCAAGUAUAGUUAUUUUUUUUGUCGGUUUCAAUAAUAUAAAGAAAUGUGUAUUAAAGGACAAUCAAGAAGUAAUGUUAAGUUAAUGGAAAAUACGUUCUUUAUUCUACUAUAGAGAAGAAAUGUGAGCAGAGUUUGAUGCGAUUUGAGCAAUCAUAUAUUGUAUUCAUUAUUUUAGAUUUGUUGAUUAUAUCAAAGAUACUUGGUUGACUCUUCGCACCAGUAAAAUUAUUAAAUUUAAUUAAUAUUAACUGUGUCUUAAAGGGUAUUAUAAGAAUCUUGAGAAUUAUAUAUAUAUAUAAGAAAUGAUCUAAAUAUUUAUAUUUUUUGAAUGAGUAUGUGAUAUUAAGAUUUUUUUAAUCUUAAAUAUUU